AUUGAACGCUGGCGGCAGGCUUAACACAUGCAAGUCGAACGAGUGGCGGACGGGUGAGUAAUGCUUGGGAAUCUAGCUUAUGGAGGGGGAUAACUACGGGAAACUGUAGCUAAUACCGCUUCCCAUAGGAUUAGCCCAAGUGGGAUUAGGUAGUUGGUGAGGUAAAGGCUCACCAAGCCGACGAUCUCUAGCUGGUCUGAGAGGCUGACCAGCCACAAUGGGACUGAGACACGGCCCAGACUCCGACGGGAGGCAGCAGUGGGGAAUAUUGCGCAAUGGGGGCAACCUGACGCAGCCAUGCCGAGUGAAUGAAGAAGGCCUUCGGGUUGUAAAGUCCUUUCGGUAGCGAGGCGUUAACUACAGAAGAAGCACCGGCUAACUCCGUGCCAGCAGCCGCGGUAAUUC
rnacentral:rRNA from 1 species